UCUUCUGAUCAAUUUCGGUCCUUCCGGCAAAUUUCUGAUCCGCGAUUAACCCCGAAUAUUUUUCUGCUCCCGUUCUGAUGAGCUGAAUAUUUUUAAUAAACUCCAAUCUGAAUUCUGACCUUGGCGGUAAAUAUUUCCCAAUCCUUCGGCUUCAUCAAAAACUUCUAUAAUACCAAAAUUAGGGUUUUCGUCCAAUUUCGGGUUUUCCUAUCGUGCUUCGAUCCCGUCGGGCUUGUUUCCCGUCCUGCUUAAUUCCCGUCCUGCUUCCAAUGUCUUCGAAAGAAUAUUCCGCUGAUACGAAGUUUUGCGGAAAACUUCGUAUUGAAGAAAUGUCGUUCUUGUAAAACGUCGAGCUUCUAAAACGCCAUGCUUCCAAAAAUGUUAUAUAUGCUUCCAAAAUGUUCUUCUGAUCAAUCUAUAACAUUGUCUAACCAUGGUCGAGCAGCUUGUUCGACUCAUGGUUCACCCACGAUCACUUCUUUGACCACCUCGUACUUCAAAACUUCCCGAUCGAUCCUUAUCACCCGCGAUUCGACCACCAAGUAGAUGCUCGAACAAUCUUCUAUUUUGUUCGAAUCAUAUCAAGUUUCAUGUGAUGAAAACUCAACAUUCUUCCAAAUAUGUAGACUCCCAAAAGCUUGGCUUCGGAUUCUGACUUUUACUCUCUCGUCCUUUUUAUCCCGAAGGGCAGGGUAUUACAUCAUGCCGCUCAUAAAUUUUUGUUUAAUAUAAUUAAUUAACAUUUCCUAAAAUACUUUAACUCAAUAAGGGAAUAUUCCUAAAUAAAAGCUAAUAUAAUAAAUAUAAUCGUUUCAAUACAAUAAAUAGAAAAUCUCACACUUACAAAUUUUACACAUAUACACAAACACAUUAUAUAUUUCUUUUUAUACCCAUUUAAAAUAGUAAUAAUGAUUUAUAUACCAUGGUAUAAUAUAAAUUUAUAAGUUAUAAAAUAAAAGGUUUACAAAAUAGACAAUUUCCGCGCUUUUAAAGCCCGGGUCAAAAUCUAGUAUAUUUUAAAUAUAUAUCAACUUGCCACAUGUGCUAAAACUCGGAGCCUAUUGUCUCAAAUGGUUGCAUGUCAUCUGUAACGUCCCGACCGCCCACAGCUAAUAAAUCAUCCACGCCUAAUCUCUCGGUCCGUGGGCCCCAUCCCGUCGGGCAAUGCAUUAAUUUUUCCAAAGACUUGAAAUCAUUGUUUACUGGCCCUGCAAUCACCACAUGCCAUUUCUCCGUGUUUUGGCCUCACUUGUACGGUAUCGCGAAUCACUUUUCGAUAGGUUAUUCAUCCUUCCACUACUCUAGCUCCACCUCAAGCAUGCUUAACCCAUGAGUUCUAAACGGAUGUGUGACGGAGAAGGUAAGUGCACUUUGGUGACAAAGAUAACUAAAUCAAUUCUUUUAAACCUUUCCAUAUACCACAAACAGAGAUGUUACAAUUUACCCUCUCUUAAAGAACGCAACGUCCUCAUUGCGCCCCAAGAUCAUUACCCAUGUUAUUAUGAGCUCUGACUAUUAUUGCAGUUGACUACAUCCUCUGUCGUUCAUUCAAAACAGUAGCAAAGGUGAUGGCUAUUCUUGUAAUUUCUCACACACGGCUUAGAACUUCAAAUAAAUGUAGUUUAGUUCUUAUAUGUUUUGUCUUCAUGAAUUGAGUCGAUCUGGUGUCUUUUUGGAGUAUGCUUGAUAGUUAUUUAAGUUCUUUGCUUAAACCAGAAAUAAUAUGCCAGAUCACUUGUAACACCCCGACCGCCCACGGCUAAUGGACCACCCACACCCGUUCUCUCGGCCCAUGGGCCCAUUCUUUCCGACGAACGGUGCGUUAAUUUUUCCAAGGCCUGUAAGUAUUGUUUACUGAUCCUGCAAUCACCACAUGACCUUUCUACGUGCUUUAGCCUCACUCGCACGAUAUCCUGAAUCACUUCCUGAUAGGUCACCGAUCUUUCCACUACUCCAGCUCAAGCACGUUUAACUCUAGAGUUGUAAACGGAUGUGUGUCACUACAAGAAAAUAUGUUUAUAGCUACAAAUUAGCUACAAAAUUUUUGUGACUAUAUUUUUCAAGCCACAAAAAGCCAUAAAACUAGCAACAAUUUUUAAAAACCAAAAUCUGUAGCUAUUCUGUAGAUAUAUGUUGGUAAUUAGCUGCAAAUUACAUUUUGUAGUUAUUCGAAGAAAAUAAGUCACAAUUAGCCACAUAAAAUAUUGUGGAAAUCAACAUCUACUAUCAGCCACAAAAAUAAUCAUAGAAAUAAAUAUAGACACGAUAUAGUUUGUGGCUAUUUUGUGGAAAAUGUAAACCCUACUCAUACCCUAAACUCCAAAUUUCUAAUAUUUAAUCAUAAACAUUAAAAGAUAAUACAAUAAAUAAUAUGUAAAACGUUAAUCUAACACUAAUAACAAAUAUUAAAACAUCAAAUAUAAUAAUUGUGCCCCCAAAUUCAAAAUCCUAAAACAUGUCCUAAAUUCUAACAUACCCUAAACUUAAACUCCUUCUCUACCGGUUAUGAUGCAUAUGUUUUACUUAGAAGAUUAAUAAUAGUUAAUAAUUAUUCAAAUUACCAUAAAACUUCAAAUGAUAGUCUUGGAUGAGGAAUUCAUGGUAGAUACAAGUGAUUUUAAACUGUUGGACAAUCACAAUUUUUCAGAACUUCUUGACACACAUGUCUUAUAAAUUAUAGAUUUUUUUUGGUAAAAAAUAAAUUAUACUUUACAAUCAAAUGCUGAUUUUUAUAAAAUAUCAUUGAGUUUUAUAAAUGUAUGAGUUUAUAAAUUAUCUUUUAAAUAGAUUUUACCACUUUUGGAUAUUUAAAUUAUCCAAAAUGAAAUAUUUAAAAUCUUUUCUUAUAUUAUGGCUAAUUAUGUAAAAUAAAAUAACACUUUUCUACAAUUUUUUUAGAAAGCCCCGCCCAAAAUUUUGGUUGACACCGCGAAUCUUUUAAGGAAUUUUUUUAAGUCUGCCCGAAAUAUUGCCCCAGAUCUUCUCCUUUGUUUACCCUAGUAUCCCUAAUUUUCCUCACUGCUUCUCCUCUUUCUGAUGUCGAUUUACAUUUAUCAGUGACCUUAUUUUCUCCUUUGCUCUAAGAUUCGAUGAUUCUCUUUCAGUGUUCUGCUUUUAUUUACAGAUUCAAAGAUUUAUUCUUCUUUCAGUCAUCUUUUUCUUCUAGUGUGAAACCGAUCUAAGUCUUCAUUUAUCUAGAAAUCUCUGACUUUUUUGUUAUGGUUCAAUUUGUCUAUAAAUCUUUGAAUAUAGGCACUAAUUCUCUUAUGUUUCGGGUAAUUGAUGUCUUUAUACUGAAAUCGAUUAAGGGUUUAAUCAAUCUGUGCAUUAUUGGGGUGAAUUAUUCCUGUGACAGAGAAGCCCUUUAUUCUCAUGGACGGCGGCGGUGGGAGACGUCUUCGGUAGGACUGAACGGGAGGGGUAACAUGACUUCUGUGAGUCUAUCUCUCUCUCUCUCUCUCUCCAUCCGAACACAACUUUUGUUGAUGUUAUUCUCUUUAUCUCUGGUAGGCAUAGAUGUGUAUUUGUGUUCCUAUUUGGCUAUUUCAGUUGAUUACGCUGGAUUUGUUUGGUUAUUGCUUAUUGAUAACAUUGGUUUGUAUAUUUAUGUCUAUCAUUCUGCUUCUUUGAAUGCUGAGUUUGGACAUGUUAGGUCUCUUGCCAAUGUAUGUCUGCAGUUUGUUUUCGGUUGUAUUGAUGGAUGUAUGUCGGAUUAUAUAUCCCUAUUCUUAUCAUUUUCCUACUGUUAUAUCUCUUGGUUUGGAUUUCUAUGAAACUCUAUUUGUUUUGGUAUUCUGAUUCUAUUGAGUAGUAUUGUGUAUGGCUUGUUUCUGAGAAGGCCUCUACUUAACUCUACCAUAAGUUUGAGGUUCUGAGUUUUCAAGUUUGCUAAUAUCUUACUGAUUUUUCUUAUAGCAGGAGCUGUAUGUGAACAUCAGUUGGCCUUUGUACCAAAACAUGUUUAUGCUUUUGAGGUUCACUCACACAUGGGCUCCAAGAAAUUUGGCCUAUGGUCACGAGGUGCCUAGAGUUGUGUCAUCUCUUAGCGAAGAAGAGCAAGAUGCACUUAUGAAGAACAUUAGGAGGAGAACAACACCACAACCAAUAAAAUCCUUGCUGAUAUCAAAUUGAAAUGUUUUUUUUAUUUAAGAUCGAUCAUAGCUACAUAUUUGUAGAUUUUUGUUUUUGAAACUAUGUGUGUACAUUUAAAUUAAUUCUUAAUAAAGAUUAAAUUUAGCAUUUUUAUAUAUUACAAAUUAAUUUAAUUAUAUAAUUAUAUUUUCAAAAAAUAAUAAUUUAUAAUAUAGCAACAAUUAUAUAUGAUUAUUUGUAUUUAAUAUAGCUGCGGUUUUGUUUGUAGCCAUUAGUGGUUAAUGAAGCUACAAAAUACGGUUUCUUACUAUUUGUGGAUAUUACCCACAAAAUAUCAUUGUGGCUAGGUUGUAGAACUCCCGCCGCAAACAGCCACAAACGACCGAUAUCCACAAGCUUAUAGCUGCAAAAGUUGCCACAAAAAUAGCUACGAAAAGCUACUGAAUUUAGGUCAUAGCCACCAAAACAAUUGUGGCUAUAGACAGUUUUUCUUGUAGUGGUCGUAAAAGUUAAGCGCACUUUGGUGACAUAGGUAGCAAAUCAACUCUCUUAAGCCUUUUCACAUAUACCAGAAAUCGGGAUAUUACAAUUCAACCCCACUCACAGAGCGUAAUGCCCAUGUUGCGCACCACGACAUGUCUCAAGACGCCUAUCGGUCAGAACCGAGAUGGCUAAUCUGGCUCUGAUACCACUUGUAACGCCUCGACCGCCCACGGCUAAUGGGCCACCCACGCCCGCUCUCUCGGCCAGUGGGUCCCAUCUCGUCCGACGGACGGUGCGUUAACUUUUGCAAAAGGCCGUAAGUCUUCUUUAUUGACCUUACAAUCACCACAUGACAUUUCCUCGUGCUUUGACCUCACUCACACGGUAUCACAAAUCACUUCCUGAUAUAUUACAUAUCCUUCCACUACUCCAGCCCAAGCACGCUUAACUCUGGAGUUCUAAACGGAUGUGUGAUGGAAAAGGUAAGCGCACUUUUGUGACGUAGGUAGCGAAAUAAAUUCUUUUAAGCCUUUUCACAUAUUCCAGAAAUCGGGAUGUUAGAAUUGACCCCCACUAAUAAAGCGCAACGUGUGCACCAUGACAUGUCUCAAAACGCCUCUCGGAUCAGAACCAAGAUGGUUAACCAGCUUUGAUACCAUUUAUAACGCCCCGACUGCCCACGGCUAAUGAGCCACCCACACACGUUCACUAUAAGCCCCAAAUUGAGGAAUUAAUGGGCCUCUCAUG